rnacentral:rRNA from 1 species
UCCUACGGGAGGCAGCAGUAGGGAAUCUUCCGCAAUGGACGAAAGUCUGACGGAGCAACGCCGCGUGAGUGAUGAAGGCUUUCGGGUCGUAAAACUCUGUUGUUAGGGAAGAACAAGUGCUAGUUGAAUAUGCUGGCACCUUGACGGUACCUAACCAGAAAGCCACGGCUAACUACGUGCCAGCAGCCGCGGUAAUACGUAGGUGGCAAGCGUUAUCCGGAAUUAUUGGGCGUAAAGCGCGCGCAGGUGGUUUCUUAAGUCUGAUGUGAAAGCCCACGGCUCAACCGUGGAGGGUCAUUGGAAACUGGGAGACUUGAGUGCAGAAGAGGAAAGUGGAAUUCCAUGUGUAGCGGUGAAAUGCGUAGAGAUAUGGAGGAACACCAGUGGCGAAGGCGACUUUCUGGUCUGUAACUGACACUGGGGCGCGAAAGCGUGGGGAGCAAACAGGAUUAGAUACCCUGGUAGUCCACGCCGUAAACGAUGAGUGCUAAGUGUUAGAGGGUUUCCGCCCUUUAGUGCUGAAGUUAACGCAUUAAGCACUCCGCCUGGGGAGUACGGCCGCAAGGCUGAAACUCAAAGGAA